UACGUAGGGGGCAAGCGUUGUCCGGAAUCAUUGGGCGUAAAGCGCGUGUAGGCGGCCAGAUAAGUCCGCUGUGAAAUCUCGAGGCUCAACUUCGAGCUGUCGGUGGAAACUGUCUGGCUAGAGUCCGGAAGAGGAGAGUUGGAAUUCCUGGUGUAGCGGUGAAAUGCGCAGAUAUCAGGAAGAACACCCGUGGCGAAGGCGGCUUCCUGGACCGAUUACUGACGCUGAGGCGCGAAAGCGUGGGGAGCAAACAGG
rnacentral:rRNA from 1 species